rnacentral:rRNA from 1 species
AUUGAACGCUGGCGGCAGGCCUAACACAUGCAAGUCGAGCGGAUGAAGGGAGCUUGCUCCUGGAUUCAGCGGCGGACAGGUGAGUAAUGCCUAGGAAUCUGCCUGGUAGUGGGAGAUAACGUCCGGAAACGGGCGCUAAUACCGCAUACGUCCUGAGGGAGAAAGUGGGGGAUCUUCGGACCUCACGCUAUCAGAUGAGCCUAGGUCGGAUUAGCUAGUUGGUGGGGUAAAGGCCUACCAAGGCGACGAUCCGUAACUGGUCUGAGAGGAUGAUCAGUCACACUGGAACUGAGACACGGUCCAGACUCCUACGGGAGGCAGCAGUGGGGAAUAUUGGACAAUGGGCGAAAGCCUGAUCCAGCCAUGCCGCGUGUGUGAAGAAGGUCUUCGGAUUGUAAAGCACUUUAAGUUGGGAGGAAGGGCAGUAAGUUAAUACCUUGCUGUUUUGACGUUACCAACAGAAUAAGCACCGGCUAACUUCGUG